rnacentral:lncRNA from 1 species
CCCCAUGUCUCGUGCAAAGUUUCCAUAGGUUUCUGUUUGAAGCUCACGAUCUCAUCAAUUUGUUGUGCUGUUUUGUUGGGCGGGUGGAACUUGCUAUGAAAUUGAUUGAAUAACUCAUCCCAAGUUUCAAUGGAGUUUAUAUGGAGUGAGUUUAGCCAAACCUGAGCAGCUCCUGUCACUGAGAAAGGAAAUAAUAGCGGCCUCAUUGCUUC